rnacentral:rRNA from 1 species
AUUGAACGCUGGCGGCAGGCCUAACACAUGCAAGUCGAACGAGUGGCGGACGGGUGAGUAAUGUCUGGGAAUCUGCCCGAUGGAGGGGGAUAACUACUGGAAACGGUAGCUAAUACCGCAUACUAUCGGAUGUGCCCAGAUGGGAUUAGCUAGUAGGUGGGGUAAAGGCUCACCUAGGCGACGAUCCCUAGCUGGUCGGAGAGGAUGACCAGCCACACUGGAACUGAGACACGGUCCAGACUCCUACGGGAGGCAGCAGUGGGGAAUAUUGCACAAUGGGCGCAAGCCUGAUGCAGCCAUGCCGCGUGUAUGAAGAAGGCCUUCGGGUUGUAAAGUACUUUCAGCGAGGAGGCGUUACUCGCAGAAGAAGCACCGGCUAACUCCGUGCCAGCAGCCGCGGUAAUAC